rnacentral:rRNA from 1 species
UGGGGAAUUUUGGACAAUGGGCGCAAGCCUGAUCCAGCCAUGCCGCGUGAGUGAAGAAGGCCUUCGGGUUGUAAAGCUCUUUCAGACGGAAAGAAAUCUCUUGGGCGAAUACCCUGGGAGGAUGACGGUACCGUAAGAAGAAGCACCGGCUAACUACGUGCCAGCAGCCGCGGUAAUACGUAGGGUGCGAGCGUUAAUCGGAAUUACUGGGCGUAAAGCGUGCGCAGGCGGUUAUAUAAGACAGAUGUGAAAUCCCCGGGCUCAACCUGGGACCUGCAUUUGUGACUGUAGAGCUAGAGUACGGUAGAGGGGGAUGGAAUUCCGCGUGUAGCAGUGAAAUUCGUAGAUAUUCGGAGGAACACCAGUGGCGAAGGCGGCUCACUGGUCCAUUACUGACGCUGAGGUGCGAAAGCGUGGGGAGCAAACA